rnacentral:rRNA from 1 species
UACGGGGGGGGUAAGCGUUGUUCGGAAUUACUGGGCGUAAAGGGCUCGUAGGCGGCCAACUAAGUCAUACGUGAAAUCCCUCAGCUUAACUGGGGGAACUGCGUGUGAUACUGGAUGGCUUGGAUUUGGGAGAGGGAUGCGGAAUUCCAGGUGUAGCGGUGAAAUGCGUAGAUAUCUGGAGGAACACCGGUGGCGAAGGCGGCAUCCUGGACCAAUAUUGACGCUGAGGAGCGAAAGCUAGGGGAGCAAACGGG